rnacentral:rRNA from 1 species
AUUGAACGCUGGCGGAAUGCUUUACACAUGCAAGUCGAACGGCAGCAUAGGUGCUUGCACCUGAUGGCGAGUGGCGAACGGGUGAGUAAUACAUCGGAACGUGCCCAGUCGUGGGGGAUAACGUAGCGAAAGUUACGCUAAUACCGCAUACGAUCUAAGGAUGAAAGCGGGGGACCGUAAGGCCUCGCGCGAUUGGAGCGGCCGAUGUCAGAUUAGGUAGUUGGUGAGGUAAAGGCUCACCAAGCCGACGAUCUGUAGCUGGUCUGAGAGGAGGACCAGCCACACUGGGACUGAGACACGGCCCAGACUCCUACGGGAGGACGCAGUGGGGAAUUUUGGACAAUGGACGCAAGUCUGAUCCAGCCAUUCCGCGCGCAGGACGAAGGCCUUCGGGUUGUAAACUGCUUUUGUACGGAACGAAAAAGCUCUUACUAAUACUAGGAGUCCAUGACGGUACCGUAAGAAUAAGCACCGGCUAACUACGUGCCAGCCGCCGCGGUAA